rnacentral:rRNA from 1 species
CACGUAGGGUGCGAGCGUUGUCCGGAAUUAUUGGGCGUAAAGAGCUCGUAGGCGGUGUGUCGCGUCGGCCGUGAAAACCUGCAGCUUAACUGUGGGCGUGCGGUCGAUACGGGCAUCACUGGAGUUCGGCAGGGGAGACUGGAAUUCCUGGUGUAGCGGUGAAAUGCGCAGAUAUCAGGAGGAACACCGGUGGCGAAGGCGGGUCUCUGGGCCGAUACUGACGCUGAGGCGCGAAAGCUAGGGGAGCAAACGGG